rnacentral:tRNA from 1 species
GGGGCGGUGCCCGAAUGCCAAAGGACCACUUUGAUAGAGUGACUUAUGGAGGUUAAAGUCCUCCCCGCCCCU